rfam:Schistosoma haematobium scaffold558_12, whole genome shotgun sequence.
AUUCAGCUGAUGAGUUCCAAAUAGAACGAAACUUGAGUCCUAAAU